rnacentral:rRNA from 1 species
UACGUAGGGGGCUAGCGUUGUCCGGAAUCAUUGGGCGUAAAGCGCGUGUAGGCGGCCCUGUAAGUCCGCUGUGAAAGUCAAGGGCUCAACCCUUGGAUGCCGGUGGAUACUGCAGGGCUAGAGUCCGGAAGAGGCGAGUGGAAUUCCCAGUGUAGCGGUGAAAUGCGUAGAUAUUGGGAGGAACACCAGUGGCGAAGGCGGCUCACUGGACUGGUACUGACGCUGAGGCGCGAAAGCGUGGGGAGCAAACGGG